GAUGAACGCUGGCGGCGUGCCUAAUACAUGCAAGUCGAGCGAACGGACGAGAAGCUUGCUUCUCUUAUGUUAGCGGCGGACGGGUGAGUAACACGUGGAUAACCUACCUAUAAGACUGGGAUAACUUCGGGAAACCGUAGCUAAUACCGGAUAAUAUUUUGAACCGCAUGGUUCAAAAGUGAAAGACGGUCUUGCUGUCACUUAUAGAUGGAUCCGCGCUGCAUUAGCUAGUUGGUAAGGUAACGGCUUACCAAGGCAACGAUGCAUAGCCGACCUGAGAGGGUGAUCGGCCACACUGGAACUGAGACACGGUCCAGACUCCUACGGGAGGCAGCAGUAGGGAAUCUUCCGCAAUGGGCGAAAGCCUGACGGAGCAACGCCGCGUGAGUGAUGAAGGUCUUCGGAUCGUAAAACUCUGUUAUUAGGGAAGAACAUAUGUGUAAGUAACUGUGCACAUCUUGACGGUACCUAAUCAGAAAGCCACGGCUAACUACGUG
rnacentral:rRNA from 1 species